UACACAUGCAGUCGAACGCAUCCUUCGGGGUGAGUGGCAGACGGGUGAGUAACACGUGGGAACGUACCCUUCGAUCUGGGAUAACUUCGGGAAACUGGAGCUAAUACCGGAUACGCCCUUUUGGGGAAAGGUUUACUGUCGAAGGAUCGGCCCGCGUCUGAUUAGCUAGUUGGUGGGGUAACGGCCUACCAAGGCGACGAUCAGUAGCUGGUCUGAGAGGAUGAUCAGCCACACUGGGACUGAGACACGGCCCAGACUCCUACGGGAGGCAGCAGUGGGGAAUAUUGGACAAUGGGCGCAAGCCUGAUCCAGCCAUGCCGCGUGAGUGAUGAAGGCCUUAGGGUUGUAAAGCUCUUUUGUCCGGGACGAUAAUGACGGUACCGGAAGAAUAAGCCCCGGCUAACUUCGUGCCAGCAGCCGCGGUAAUACGAAGGGGGCUAGCGUUGCUCGGAAUCACUGGGCGUAAAGGGCGCGUAGGCGGUCUUUUAAGUCGGGGGUGAAAGCCUGUGGCUCAACCACAGAAUUGCCUUCGAUACUGGGAGACUUGAGUUCGGUAGAGGUUGGUGGAACUGCGAGUGUAGAGGUGAAAUUCGUAGAUAUUCGCAAGAACACCGGUGGCGAAGGCGGCCAACUGGACCGACACUGACGCUGA
rnacentral:rRNA from 1 species